AACGCAUAUUGCGCUCGAGGCUUCGGCCAAGAGCAUGUCUGCCUCAGCGUCGGGUUAAUACUCGUUCCUCUACUCUCCUAGUGUGGGUAGUGUGUAACGGACCUGGCUGUCUCGGCUUUUAGCAGUUCUCUUACUGCUGAAAGCCGGGUCUGCUGAAGUGUAGAGAUUGAUGCAUGGACCCGCUAAGGGCCUCAACUGGGUAGGCAACUCGUUGCUAUCAAUGCUUUAGUUGAUGGUCUGGAUUCGUGCUGGUCAAUCCGAACCAGGAAAACUCUUUCACUAGAGUUCUUUAACCCUUCAUUAUCUCGACCUGAGCUCAGGCAAGGACACCCGCUGAACUUAA
rnacentral:misc_RNA from 1 species